GGCGUCCUUAUCUAUGUGACAACACGUAUGUUCAGAGUGGUGAGGGAUAAAUAAAAUACUGAUGACAGUGUUUUCGCUGAGGGUCUGUACUUAUGUACGAAGUUAUUAUUGCAAAUGCUGUGAUAGAGCUUAGAGUAACUCACUGCCUGGGGAACUAGAGGCUUCGAGGAGACCUAGAUCUGAGCUUCCAGAAAAGUGUAGAAUCUCAGAACAGGGAGGGGAGGAAAGGGAGAGAAGCCUUCUGAGGGAGGGCCCUGCAGGAGUGAAGGUCUGGCCUUGUGCAAGCACACAGAUUCCUCAAGGAACAGACGGGUCACGUGGCCGGCUGCUGUAGGGAUAGGAGUGGUCAGAGCUAAAGCUGGAUAGGUAGACAGGGACCAGGGCAUGCAGGGCCCUGUCAAAAGUAACUUCAACUUCACUGGGGACUUUUAUUUGAGAAAGAAUGAGCGUGAGGGCAGGAAAGGUGCAGAGAGAGGGAGAGAAAAUUCCAAGCAGGCUCUGCGGUGUCAUUGCCAAGCCUGAGCUCCGGGCUCCAUCCCACCAACUGGGAGAACAUCGCCUGAGCCAAAAUCAAGAGUCAAGGCUCAACCAACUGAGCCACCCAGGCAAGCCCACUGGUGACUUUUGAAGAGGAGUGAUGGGUCAGUACUAUUCUUUCCUCCAUUCAUGUAUUUAACAUGAGCACGUGCUGGGUAUUGUGCACAGUGCUGAAGCAAAUGAAAGAUGAAGACACAAACCUGACUUGUGAGUUUAUGGAUUAGUUGAGACAGAAAUAUAAUGGAUCUUGAUAUUCAGGAGAAAUAUUUUAAGACAGAUAAGGUAGUACUUUCUGGAAGCAUCACAAGGCAGGGCAAAUUGAUUCUCAUUGUAAAAUGGCCUUUCAGCUGGAAUGUGAAGGAUAAGCAGGAAAUGAUAAAGGAAAGGUAAUCUAGGAAAAAGGAAAUGUGUGAGCGAAAGUUGGGAGACCUGAGAGUGCCAGGCCUAGAUGAAGACUGAGGUCAUCUGGUAUUGCUGAAGUGCUGGGAGGUGGGGGCUGGUUGUGGAAGCCUCUGAAUGCCACCCACAGGUUUUUCUCUAUAUGUAAAGCAGCUCCUUGAUCAGACCUGCAAUUUUUGAAUGAUGAAGCAGAAUUUUAGGUAAUUAUGCCAGUUCAGUUGCAGCAUGGGAGCCUGGUGCAAGAGUUGAAAGGAAAGAAGAACAAAGGAAAGAUCUUCACAGUAUCAAAAGUAAAGAAUUGAAAAACAAGAACAAAAACAAAACCAAACACAAAGAGAGCAGUGUUGGGCCAGCAGUACCAUCAGCCCCCAGCCCACAAGCCAGUCCAGCCCCCGGGCUCUGAGUGAGGAGGCUGCGUAGCACCAGGAAGCGGCUCUGCGGAGGUCCUGAGGGGCCCCAGCACGGCACAGCGUCCAUUCAACUUUUGGUUGGUCCAGGAUGGCGAGGAGCAGGGAGGAUCUUGGGCAGGUGGAUAGGGAUGUGGAGGAAGAAACUGUAGACCUUCAGCUGGCAGUUGGGGUCUCAGGACACCCUGAAGAAGCUUGACCCGGCAGGGGCUGAGAAAACAGGAGAGCAUGGCUGCACCGUCUCAGCUUGGUUGCCACUUCUACUAGGAAGGCUGCCCUGGCCUCGCCUACGUUUCAGCUUCGCCUGUCGCCCCACUUCUAGCUGCCUCCCCCACGGCCCCAUACCCUUACUCUUCCAACAGCACUCAACAUUGUUUAUGGCUCUCUCUCCCCACCUAAGCUGUGUUUGAUUUGCCUCUACCGUAGAGCUCAGCCCAGGCAGAGCAGAGAAAGUGCAAAUGAAUAAACAAAUGAAUAAAGCUGGAGAAAGCCCUGGUUCUUGGGGCCUGACAUGCCUCCUUCUCCCUGUCCCUUAUACUUUUCCAGAUGCCCUGUCCUGCCAUGUGGCUACCUGGGUUCCAGGAGAUAUACUGGUGGGAGAGAGCUUGGAGAGGCUCUCCCUCUGAGGGAGUCGGGCUGAGGGAGAGCCUGAGUGUGGGUGGGCGAGAAGGCAUCCCCACACCUACCUCUUGAAGUACUCCACCUCCCGGUCAGUCUCAUCCAUCUCCACCCCAUCCAUGUCCUUGGGCAGGAACACAUCGUCUAGGAAGACACAGCCAGGAGGGCUUAGUGCCCAUGGCCAGGCCUC